UUUUUUUUUUUUUUUUUUUUUUUGGUGAUUCAUGCUUUUAAUCCUAGCACUCAGGAAGCAGAAGCAGGCAGAUCUCUUGAGUUCAAGCCACCCUGAUUUACAGAAUGAGUUCCAGGACAGAGCCAGGGCUACAAGUAGAAACCUACCCUGUUGGAAAAGAGAGGUGGGGGGAGAAAGAGGAGGAGGAGAAGAAGAGAAGAUGUUCAGAGGUAGAACACUUGUAUAGUAGGCAUCGAUGCUCUGGGUUUGAGAGAGAACAGACAGAGACUGAAAGAUACACAUUCAUGCUGAGUGUGUACCAAGGAGGCACAGUGUCAGAUCUGGAGCUAGAGUUGCAAUGAGUUGUGAGCUCUCUGAUGUGGGUACUGGGAACCAAACCCAAAUCCUCUGCAAACACGCUUAACCAUGUCUACAGCACCAGUCAUUUUUGAGAGACGAGCAGGUGAUCUUCUGGGAGUGCUGCCACACCCACUCCAGUAAAGACUGUAUGGCAGGCCCAAAAGCUUGGAUGCAGUCCUGAGGCCGAGUUUAACAGAAACUCAGUCUCCUGGAACCUUGGCACAAAUGCUCCAAACCUGUUGCUGCAUUAGUCAGUGAAUGGGUCUGUGUGCGUUCUUUCAGUAUUGUUUUAUUAUAGGGGCCUCCAAGAAAUGAUUUUAUAAAUAACCUAAAUCAAAUUAAACUUUGCUUCCUGGCCUUCACCAAUGUGCUAGGCAGGCCUUGAGCUGACCCUGAGCUUCGAAUUUUGUAAAAAUGUUAUUCAUUCAGACAAAAUGCCCCAGUGUUGACAGUUAGUAAUCAGGCAUCUCAGUUUGCCAGAUAGGAGCAAGUAUUCUCAGGGCUAGUUCAAAACAGUAAACGUAAAAUUCUCAUUGCAAACAUGAAUGGCAGCCUACAUUACAUAAUAGUAGAAAGAAGGUGGGUUGUGGUUUUAAGAAGAACUAAAGUAUUAUUCAUAAAAAGGUUAGUAAAACGAAAUUCCCCUGGUGCAUGUUUUUCACUAGGCCUAGAGAAAUAACAUAAUUAGGUAUUUACUAAGGGACCCCUGGUGGUGGGUUUAACAAUAGACUAGCAUUGCAUCAGAUCUUUCACCUGGCUCCUGUAAAUAGCUGAUUUUAGAUAGGGCUGUUCCUAUCUCAGUUGUAAACACUGCCUGGCUCCUGCCAGCUUUUUAUGUAUACAUUUUCUUUGUUUUGUGUAAAGAACCAUUAUGCAUCUCGAUGUCCCAUGGCUGAUGUGUUGCCUAGCUUUCUUGUUUUUCUUCUGUAUUAUAAGUCUGGUGGUUGCUUUAAAAAAUUACAAUCAGAUACAACACUCUC
rnacentral:lncRNA from 1 species